GGGUGUUAACAGGACACUUCACCUUAAAUGGUCACUUGAAAUGCAUUAACUAUUUAUGCUACACAAUCUUUUUGGUGCAAUAAAAGAUAUCACCGCAUCC